UCUAUUUUGCAAGGGAGCCCUGCAUGGUGUCUGCCAGGCCAGUGUGAUGAAGGGACAGAGAUGAGAAGAGGAAUCUACUUUAGAUGAUUAGACACAAUCUCUUUUCCGUCAUUUCUCACCAUGGAUACAUUCAAAAUAAUGGAAAAAAAGGUUUUAAACAUACCUAUGAAAUUAGGCAUAUUCAAAACUCAAAGAGUAGUUUUCACCUGUCCAGUCCUUUGAGUCCAUAAACACCACAAGGGUAGUAGGGUAGUAGUAGGGUAGUAGUAUUCGAUCAAAUAAACCUCAUAAUAGCAAAUAAGCCAUUACAUUUUUUUGUUUACCAAAUUCGACACUUUCAUUGACCUCCAUACAAAAACGCAUCGCUUGGUGAGCCAAAUAAAUGUAACAACGCCACCUGCUGGAGAAGAAAGAUUUUUGACCGAGUUGCUUGAGAUGCUCCUGACCGCAGUGUGCAGUUCGGGGCUGGGAUCAAACGCUUUUAACCCGAACCCUUCCAGUCUCCUUCAAGGUCACCGUCAACGAAAGCGAAUCGUAAUCGAACCUUACCUAUAUUGAUACAAAUAUAAACCAUGGAAGAAAACAUGCAGCAAAUUAGGCGAUGGUGGUGCCUAGUUCUCCUGCAGAACUUUCCCAUGCCGGAAGACUGCAUUACAACUCUUAAAGAACUACAGUUGUAUGAUGGCCUGGAUGAAGAGGAAAAUAUUCUCCUCAAGGAACCAUUCAUGUUACAGAGAGAUUAUGAGAUGUUCUAUGUGGAGGCAGUUGACAACAAUAAAAUGACUGUCUUUUGCCUCUUUUGAGGAGCAGGAGUGAAGCCAUUUUUGAGGAGUGGUCAAACCUUGUUUUUGUCUGCUUUGUUAAUUGUGUUUAUGUUGUUUAGUAAAGAUGACUUAGAAGUCACCCGAGUCUCUGAUCUCUUUACUGGAGCUGGUAUAACUUAAUGGACAAAGCACAUUCAGCUUGUCAUUAUGUCUAUUUGGUAUAGUCUGUCUCCAUUCUCAUGAGGAAAGUAAAUAGCAUUAUAAAUCAGGAUAGGUAGUAACUACACUGAUAUAUGCUCAAUUAAAUAAUAUUAAAGUUAUAACAUUUAUCAACACAAUUUAACAGUACAUGACAUGCAUAACAAGUCUGUUCACUGCAACAAUAUCAGUAGCUUGUCUCAAAUAUAGCAUGAAGCAAAAAGUGUUACAACACAUCUGCUGGUGCUUUAAGGAAGUCUCAAAGUUUUGCUCACCUGAGGUGGAGUAUCUUAUGAUAAGCAACAGACCUCACUAUUUACCCAGAGAGUUUAUCUGUUUUCGUAGCUGUCUAUAUACCACCACAGAGCGAGGUUGGAACUAAAACUGCGCUAAAUGAGCUGUAUUCCGCCAUAAGAGAACAGGAAACCACUCAUCCAGA